rnacentral:rRNA from 2 species
AGAUAAGGAGCUUGCUCCUUUGACGUUAGCGGCGGACGGGUGAGUAACACGUGGGUAACCUACCUAUAAGACUGGAAUAACUCCGGGAAACCGGGGCUAAUGCCGGAUAACAUUUAGAACCGCAUGGUUCUAAAGUGAAAGAUGGUUUUGCUAUCACUUAUAGAUGGACCCGCGCCGUAUUAGCUAGUUGGUAAGGUAACGGCUUACCAAGGCAACGAUACGUAGCCGACCUGAGAGGGUGAUCGGCCACACUGGAACUGAGACACGGUCCAGACUCCUACGGGAGGCAGCAGUAGGGAAUCUUCCGCAAUGGGCGAAAGCCUGACGGAGCAACGCCGCGUGAGUGAUGAAGGUCUUCGGAUCGUAAAACUCUGUUAUUAGGGAAGAACAAAUGUGUAAGUAACUGUGCACGUCUUGACGGUACCUAAUCAGAAAGCCACGGCUAACUACGUGCCAGCAGCCGCGGUAAUACGUAGGUGGCAAGCGUUAUCCGGAAUUAUUGGGCGUAAAGCGCGCGUAUGCGGUUUC